rnacentral:rRNA from 1 species
GUUUAUGGCCAUGCCACCCUGAACGAGCCUGAUCCUGUCUGAUCUUGGAAGCUAAGGAGGGUCAGGCCUGGUUGUACCUGGUUGUACUUGGUUCUGUAGGCA